rnacentral:rRNA from 1 species
UACGAGGGGGGCAAGCGUUGUUCGGAUUUAUUGGGCGUAAAGGGUGCGUAGGCGGUUUGGCAAGUCUGAUGUGAAAUCUAUGGGCUCAACCCAUAGUCUGCAUCAGAAACUGCCGGGCUUGAGUAUGGGAGAGGAAAGUGGAAUUCCUGGUGUAGCGGUGAAAUGCGUAGAUAUCAGGAGGAACACCAGUGGCGAAGGCGGCUACCUGGACCAGCACUGACACUGAAGCACGAAAGCGUGGGGAGCAAACAGG